rnacentral:rRNA from 1 species
UACGUAGGGGGCUAGCGUUGUCCGGAUUUAUUGGGCGUAAAGAGCUCGUAGGUGGUUCGGUAAGUCGGAUGUGAAAUCUCCAGGCUCAACCUGGAGGGGUCAUUCGAUACUGCCGUGACUAGAGUUCGGUAGAGGAGUGUGGAAUUCCUGGUGGAGCGGUGAAAUGCGCAGAGAUCAGGAGGAACACCGGUGGCGAAGGCGGGUCUCUGGGCCGAUAUUGACGCUGAGGAGCGAAAGCCAGGGGAGCAAACGGG